UCCUCCCUCCCUACCCGAUCCACUUUCCUUUCUCCCUCUCUCUCUCGCAUGCUCUCUGCUAGCCCGAAUGGCUGCCCUCCGAUGGUCGCCGCCGUGUAGGCACCGGAUCAAGAGUACCAGACACCGCCGAAACUCCAGCCUCACGAGCCCUUCGUUGCCGUUCUCCGCCGCGAGCAGAAGCCUCCAGGCUCGUACGUCACCGCCGUGGCUUCAAGGCCAAUUUCUGGCCUCCUCUGACAUCGUCUCAGGCGAAGGGUACCAUGGGUGAACUCAGGGUAUCAAGACGAACAAAGCCCAUCCAAGGAUCGGGCUUUUAAGUGACCGAAGGAGACAGAAUCAGCUCUCCAUUUGCUGCUUGUAGUCUUCUUCUCGAGACCAAGUUCUAAAUGUCAUGUUCAUCCACAUGAGAGGGGUAUAGUUGAUUUCCACCCUAUAUAUUUCCAUUCAAAUGAGGCUAGUGGAUCUAUGAAACCAAUUACUUAUGGUUCCAUAUAAUUAACGACAGUUGACCAAUCAAGAUUUAGAAGGACUCGAGUUACUGAGGGUGGUAUGAUUCUUUUUGCAGCCAUCAUUGUUGUGCCUGCUCUUAUUAUGACUUUUAUUUGUGAAUGUGUUUUGAUUAUUAGGAAAGAUCUCCUUUUGAAAA